AUUGAACGCUGGCGGCAUGCUUUACACAUGCAAGUCGAACGGUAACAGGCCGCCAGGUGCUGACGAGUGGCGAACGGGUGCGUAAUGCAUCGGAACGUGCCCAGUCCUGGGGGAUAACUAAUCGAAAGAGUAGCUAAUACCGCAUACGAUCUAUGGAUGAAAGCGGGGGACCGUAAGGCCUCGCGCGAUUGGAGCGGCCGAUGUUAGAUUAGGUAGUUGGUGGGGUAAAGGCUCACCAAGCCCAAGAUCUGUAGCUGGUCUGAGCGGACGACCAGCCACACUGGAACUGAGACACGGCCCAGACUCCUACGGGAGGCAGCAGUGGGGAAUGUUGGACAAUGGGCGCAAGCCUGAUCCAGCAAUGCCGCGUGCAGGAAGAAGGCCUUCGGGUUGUAAACUGCUUUUGUACGGAACGAAACGGCUCUGGUUAAUACCCGGGGCUAAUGACGGUACCGUAAGAAUAAGCACCGGCUAACUACGUG
rnacentral:rRNA from 1 species